GACUACUACUAUCAGAAUUCGGUUUAGCCAUGCGAGGCAUCUGUAGCAAUACAGGCCGCACUGCUCAGUAACACGUAGUUAACCUGCCCUAUGCACGGAGAUAAUCCUGGGAAACUGGGCGUAAUAUCCGAUAGGCGAUAAUUGCUGGAAGGCAUCUUCGCUUAAAGCCGCAAGGCGGAAUAGGAUGGGACUGCGUCGGAUUAGCUUGUUGUUGAGGUAAUUGCUCAACAAGGCUGUAAUCCGUACGGGUCGUGAGAGCGAUUGCCCGAAGAUGGCUUCUGAGACAUGAAGCCAGGCCCUACGGGGCGCAGCAGGCGCGAAAACUUCGCAAUGCACGAAAGUGUGACGAGGGAAUUCUGAGUGAUAUCGCAAUGCGGUAUCUUUUGUGCACUGUAAAAAGGUGCACGAAUAAGGGGUGGGUAAGACGGUUGCCAGCCGCCGCGGUAAUUCGAAGAAUCG
rnacentral:rRNA from 1 species